AAACAUGUCUUUUUGAAUUAUAUUUAAAGUCUGACCUGCCCACUGAAUAAUUUUAAAUGGCCGCAGUAUUUUGACUGUGCAAAGGUAGCAUAAUCAUUAGUCUUUUAAUUGAAGGCUGGUAUGAACGGUUGGACGAAGUAUAAGCUGUUUCAUAUAAAUUUAUAAUAGAAUUUUAUAUUUUAGUUAAAAAGCUAAAAUUUUAUUAAAAGACGAGAAGACCCUAUAAAUCUUUAUAAUUGAUGUUAACUAAAUUUUUUUGAUUUAUUUUAUUUUUUUAAUAUUAAUUAUUUUGUUGGGGUGAUGUUAAAAUUUAAUGAACUUUUAAUUUUUUAAAAUCAUUAAUUUAUGAGUUAUUGAUCCAUUAAUAAUGAUUAUAAGAUUAAGUUACUUUAGGGAUAACAGCGUAAUUUUUUUUGAGAGUUCAUAUCGACAAAAAAGUUUGCGACCUCGAUGUUGGAUUAAGGUAUAAUUUUGGGUGUAGCCGUUCAAAAAUUAAGUCUGUUCGACUUUUAAAUCCUUACAUGAUC
rnacentral:rRNA from 2 species